GUUUAAUUUAGUCUCUUAAUUUUAAAAUUAAAAUAAUUUCUAAAUUAAAUACCGUCACCUUAACUAUGUAAUAGUUAAGGUGACCAAAGCGACAGGCGCGAAUCGAGCAGCAUAAUCAAUGUAAAUAGCACGACAAUUUUAUUUAAUUUUAAUAUCCGGGGCGCGAUUCUGAAUGUCGCACCGCGGCAUCCAAUCAGCGACGAGAUAAUCACGACGUCACCUUACUAAACUAAGCAGAAAAGUUUGUAGAUAAUGGCGGACAAUGUUUUCAUCGCCGUGUGUGGGCACCAACAACGCCGCUACGAUUUAUCGGGACCGGAAUAAGAAGAAGAGACAUGGGCUAAAGUUAGCCAGGAAGUGGGACUCUCUGGUGAAUUGUUAACCUUUCCGUGACUUGUUUUACUACUGUCAGCCGGCCGGUGGAGACGGUGAACUUCAUCCGUAGCUCGGUGCUACUCCGGACGACGUCAUGAACCCAGACACGGCGGCGGGUGGUUUUCCCGCCCUUCUGCUACAGCAGGUUCCGUCUGCGAUGCAGGAGGUUCAUCUCCGUUCACCGCCGUCAUAUUUAAUGUGGCUUUCCAAGAACGAACAGCAGGAAAGACGACUAAUCAGGAACUGAAGUAUCCUUCAGUGCACUCACACAAGAUUGACCUGACGACCACGUUUGGACUAGUCAACACCUGGGGUGGAGACGUGUGGAGGAGACUUCAAUUUCUAUGGUCGUACAGCGUUCGUUCUCCAGGUUGUAGGUGAAGACCAGUGAAGGUCAGGUGACCUACACCUGUCAGUGACUGUGAACACAUCGUAUGAAGUCGAUGUCUACGACAGCUGAGCCUCACCAACCCCAAAGGUCCACUCUGUACUCUGACGUAUGGAUGAACCACACUUUCAUUUCUUUUCCCCAGAAAUAGUACAAAGAUCCCUUCGUGACUUCAGCUGCGUGUGGUUCUGUUCUGCUCAUGAGUGACCAAGUGUUAACCAGGAGACGGUGACAGGCCCACGGAGGAGGUGCAGGAAGAGGAGAUGGGAAGAUUCCAGCUCUGUCCUCCAGUCCACCCACUGCCUGAAGAAAUAAAGGAGAUGGAGCGAAGCGAGACGUUGUGUCGUUACUGCGGGGUGAGCUACCUGGUCUACCACGAGUUUCAUCAGCUCAACACCCGACUGUCCCAGCUGCAGGCUGAGCUCCAGGACGUGAGAG